rnacentral:rRNA from 1 species
AACGCGAAGAACCUUACCUGGGUUGGAACCCUCCAGAAGUCCGCAGAGAUGCGGAUGUGCCCGCAAGGGAAUUGGAUGUCCAGGUGCUGCAUGGCUGUCGUCAGCUCGUGUCGUGAGAUGUUGGGUUAAGUCCCGCAACGAGCGCAACCCUUGUCGUUAGUUGCCAGCGGUUCGGCCGGGCACUCUAACGAGACUGCCGGUGUUAAACCGGAGGAAGGUGGGGAUGACGUCAAGUCCUCAUGGCCCUUAUGCCCAGGGCUACACACGUGCUACAAUGACCGGUACAAAGGGUUGCAAACCUGUGAAGGCAAGCCAAUCCCAAAAAACCGGCCUCAGUUCAGAUUGAAGUCUGCAACUCGACUUCAUGAAGUCGGAAUCGCUAGUAAUCCCUGAUCAGCAGGCAGGGGUGAAUACGUUCCCGGGCCUUGUA